rnacentral:rRNA from 1 species
UACGGCCACCAGAUCACCCUGAAUGUGGCCGAGUCUCAGAAGCUAAGUCGGGCUGAGCCUGGUUAAUACUUGGAUGGGCGACUGCAUGGGAAUACCAGGUGUUGUCUGCC